rnacentral:lncRNA from 1 species
CAAUAGCCCGCAACUGGGCCUCCGUAUGUGCGUCCCAGAAACCGGGUGCAGAUAUUCGCACCCUCCGCGAACAGCGUGAAAAAGCGGCUCCGCGGCAGAAGCAGCUAACAUCUUCGGGGUCUUUGUCCCCGGCCUCUGGUCCAGACUGCUGGAAGUCAGUCUCUUCCAACCAAGUCAGGCCAGAUACCUAAAAAGUGUGAAAAAGGAGAAUUUCGGGCUUGGCUUGCUUACACCAAAACUCUGGAGCCAAGGCCCACCAGCAAAACUGGGCUUAUGCAUUCAUUCCAAUUCUCUUGCCCUCCUGGAGGUGAAUUUGGUUGCGGAUUCGGACCGUCAACGUCACAGAGCUCCAAGUCACGUAAAACGCAGAUUUCUCUGGCAACGCCUGAAGUGGGGCUCAGGCGGCCCCCUGAUGACUGAGGUACACUGAAGACUGGCUGCCACAAACGAGUGGUAAAUAACUGCACAGAAACGAGUUGAGAUUGUGACAGGAUCUGCAAAGGACAGGAGCUGGGAGAGUGUCCUCCAGUGGGGCCUGGACGUAGCUGAGGCCGCGCGGGAGGGGAUGUGACGGGGAAUACUUAACACGAGGAAGGUGUCAAGCAUGAUUGCCAAGUUCCAGGCUUAAGCAGCUGAGAAGGGGAACCUUGAAGAGGUAGGCCCAUCUGGAUGGAAGAGCCGGAGGUUGCUCACCUGGAGACUCCAGCAGCCUCCACACUGACACCGCCGCCCCGCCCCCAUUCUCUGCACAGCCACUGAUGGUAGACUCCUCAGUCAGGGCACUCCAAGGAUUUCCCUGCACAUAAUCAAUUCCAAAAUCCUCCCUCAGCCUCAGUCCUGCAUAACCUGAUCCCUGCCUGAUCCCUCCCUCGAUACACUCCAGACACACAGCUAGUCCCAGACAUAGGGUUCCCAGGAAGUCACUGAACGGAGGGGUCUCCGCCUCACAUUUCAUGUCUUGUUCACUCCACUCAGGCAACCAUCUCUGUAAGAAUCAAGAUGCUAGCAAGAUCCCGGAUAAUUUAUCUGCACGCACGUUAAGCUUGAGAUGGAAGCACUGUCCCUCGGGACACACGGCACUAGAGGAUCGCGUGUUUCCUCAACAGUGGAACGGCCUGCGAUCCUCGACCUGACGGAGAGACCAGCUGGACCCAUCUUUGAACCUUGCCUCACUUGUCGCUGCUCAGGAGCCAAUCAAUAAACAUUUCCUGAGUGGACA